AGAGUUUGAUCCUGGCUCAGAUUGAACGCUGGCGGCAGGCCUAACACAUGCAAGUCGAGCGGUAGAGAGGUGCUUGCACCUCUUGAGAGCGGCGGACGGGUGAGUAAAGCCUAGGAAUCUGCCUGGUAGUGGGGGAUAACGCUCGGAAACGGACGCUAAUACCGCAUACGUCCUACGGGAGAAAGCAGGGGACCUUCGGGCCUUGCGCUAUCAGAUGAGCCUAGGUCGGAUUAGCUAGUUGGUGAGGUAAUGGCUCACCAAGGCGACGAUCCGUAACUGGUCUGAGAGGAUGAUCAGUCACACUGGAACUGAGACACGGUCCAGACUCCUACGGGGAGGCAGCAGUGGGGAAUAUUGGACAAUGGGCGAAAGCCUGAUCCAGCCAUGCCGCGUGUGUGAAGAAGGUCUUCGGAUUGUAAAGCACUUUAAGUUGGGAGGAAGGGCAUUAACCUAAUACGUUAGUGUUUUGACGUUACCGACAGAAUAAGCACCGGCUAACUCURWRCCAGCAGCCGCGGUAAUACAGAGGGUGCAAGCGUUAAUCGGAAUUACUGGGCGUAAAGCGCGCGUAGGUGGUUAGUUAAGUUGGAUGUGAAAUCCCCGGGCUCAACCUGGGAACUGCAUUCAAAACUGACUGACUAGAGUAUGGUAGAGGGUGGUGGAAUUUCCUGUGUAGCGGUGAAAUGCGUAGAUAUAGGAAGGAACACCAGUGGCGAAGGCGACCACCUGGACUGAUACUGACACUGAGGUGCGAAAGCGUGGGGAGCAAACAGGAUUAGAUACCCAAGUAGUCCACGCCGUAAACGAUGUCAACUAGCCGUUGGGAGCCUUGAGCUCUUAGUGGCGCAGCUAACGCAUUAAGUUGACCGCCUGGGGAGUACGGCCGCAAGGUUAAAACUCAAAUGAAUUGACGGGGGCCCGCACAAGCGGUGGAGCAUGUGGUUUAAUUCGAAGCAACGCGAAGAACCUUACCAGGCCUUGACAUCCAAUGAACUUUCCAGAGAUGGAUUGGUGCCUUCGGGAACAUUGAGACAGGUGCUGCAUGGCUGUCGUCAGCUCGUG
rnacentral:rRNA from 1 species